rnacentral:siRNA from 1 species
UUACCAAUUUCAAUGUUAGCCAGA